UAAUAAGAAAGAAUAAUGACGGUAUUUAAUAUGAUAAGCACCGGCUAACUCCGUGCCAGCAGCCGCGGUAAUACGGAGGGGUGCAAGCGUUAUUCGGAAUCACUGGGCGUAAGGGUGCGUAGGCGGUUUGGAAAGUCAGAUGUGAAAGCCUACAGCUUAAACUGUAGAACUGCAUUUGAAACUUCCAGACUAGAAUACUGAAGGGGCAGAUGGAAUUAGUGGUGUAGGGGUAAAAUCCGUAGAUAUCACUAGGAAUACCGAAAGCGAAAGCGAUCUGCUGGGAAGUUAUUGACGCUGAGGCACGAAAGCGUGGGGAGCAAACGGGAUUAGAUACCCCGGUAGUCCACGCCCUAAACGAUGAAUGCUAGUCGUCGGAAAGCUCGUCUUUUCGGUGAUGCAGUUAACACAUUAAGCAUUCCGCCUGGGGAGUACGGUCGCAAGAUUAAAACUCAAAGGAAUAGACGGGGACCCGCACAAGUGGUGGAGCAUGUGGUUUAAUUCGAAGAUACGCGAAGAACCUUACCUAGCCUUGACAUUGAUAGAAUCUGGUAGAGAUACCGGAGUGCCUGCUUGCAGGAACUUGAAAACAGGUGCUGCACGGCUGUCGUCAGCUCGUGUCGUGAGAUGUUGGGUUAAGUCCCGCAACGAGCGCAACCCUCGUCGUUAGUUGCUAACAGUUCGGCUGAGCACUCUAGCGAGACUGCCUUCGCAAGGAGGAGGAAGGUGAGGACGACGUCAAGUCAUCAUGGCCCUUAUGGCUAGGGCUACACACGUGCUACAAUGGGGCGUACAGAGAGUUGCGAUACCGCGAGGUGGAGCUAAUCUCAUAAAGCGUCUCUCAGUUCGGAUUGAUCUCUGCAACUCGAGAUCAUGAAGCUGGAAUCACUAGUAAUCGUAGAUCAGCAAUGCUACGGUGAAUACGUUCCCGGGUCUUGUACUCACCGCCCGUCACACCAUGGGAGUUGAUUUCACCCGAAAUCGGGAAGCAAACCUUCGGGAUGCUACCGCUUACGGUGGAAUUAGCGACUGGGGUGAAGUCGUAACAAGGUA
rnacentral:rRNA from 1 species